rnacentral:rRNA from 1 species
UGCCUAAUACAUGGCAAGGUCGAACGCGUUGGCCCAAUUGAUUGAUGGUGCUUGCACCUGAUUGAUUUUGGUCGCCAACGAGUGGCGGACGGGUGAGUAACACGUAGGUAACCUGCCCAGAAGCGGGGGACAACAUUUGGAAACAGAUGCUAAUACCGCAUAACAGCGUUGUUCGCAUGAACAACGCUUAAAAGAUGGCUUCUCGCUAUCACUUCUGGAUGGACCUGCGGUGCAUUAGCUUGUUGGUGGGGUAACGGCCUACCAAGGCGAUGAUGCAUAGCCGAGUUGAGAGACUGAUCGGCCACAAUGGGACUGAGACACGGCCCAUACUCCUACGGGAGGCAGCAGUAGGGAAUCUUCCACAAUGGGCGCAAGCCUGAUGGAGCAACACCGCGUGAGUGAAGAAGGGUUUCGGCUCGUAAAGCUCUGUUGUUAAAGAAGAACACGUAUGAGAGUAACUGUUCAUACGUUGACGGUAUUUAACCAGAAAGUCACGGCUAACUACGUGCCAGCAGCCGCGGUAAUACGUAGGUGGCAAGCGUUAUCCGGAUUUAUUGGGCGUAAAGAGAGUGCAGGCGGUUUUCUAAGUCUGAUGUGAAAGCCUUCGGCUUAACCGGAGAAGUGCAUCGGAAACUGGAUAACUUGAGUGCAGAAGAGGGUAGUGGAACUCCAUGUGUAGCGGUGGAAUGCGUAGAUAUAUGGAAGAACACCAGUGGCGAAGGCGGCUACCUGGUCUGCAACUGACGCUGAGACUCGAAAGCAUGGGUAGCGAACAGGAUUAGAUACCCUGGUAGUCCAUGCCGUAAACGAUGAGUGCUAGGUGUUGGAGGGUUUCCGCCCUUCAGUGCCGGAGCUAACGCAUUAAGCACUCCGCCUGGGGAGUACGACCGCAAGGUUGAAACUCAAAGGAAUUGACGGGGGCCCGCACAAGCGGUGGAGCAUGUGGUUUAAUUCGAAGCUACGCGAAGAACCUUACCAGGUCUUGACAUCUUGCGCCAACCCUAGAGAUAGGGCGUUUCCUUCGGGAACGCAAUGACAGGUGGUGCAUGGUCGUCGUCAGCUCGUGUCGUGAGAUGUUGGGUUAAGUCCCGCAACGAGCGCAACCCUUGUUACUAGUUGCCAGCAUUAAGUUGGGCACUCUAGUGAGACUGCCGGUGACAAACCGGAGGAAGGUGGGGACGACGUCAGAUCAUCAUGCCCCUUAUGACCUGGGCUACACACGUGCUACAAUGGACGGUACAACGAGUCGCGAACUCGCGAGGGCAAGCAAAUCUCUUAAAACCGUUCUCAGUUCGGACUGCAGGCUGCAACUCGCCUGCACGAAGUCGGAAUCGCUAGUAAUCGCGGAUCAGCAUGCCGCGGUGAAUACGUUCCCGGGCCUUGUACACACCGCCCGUCACACCAUGAGAGUUUGUAACACCCAAAGUCGGUGGGGUAACCUUUUAGGAGCCAGCCGCCUAAG